rnacentral:rRNA from 1 species
GACGAACGCUGGCGGCGUGCCUAAUACAUGCAAGUAGAACGCUGAAGGAGGAGCUUGCUUCUCUGGAUGAGUUGCGAACGGGUGAGUAACGCGUAGGUAACCUGCCUGGUAGCGGGGGAUAACUAUUGGAAACGAUAGCUAAUACCGCAUAACAGUAGAUGUUGCAUGACAUUUGCUUAAAAGGUGCAAUUGCAUCACUACCAGAUGGACCUGCGUUGUAUUAGCUAGUUGGUGGGGUAACGGCUCACCAAGGCGACGAUACAUAGCCGACCUGAGAGGGUGAUCGGCCACACUGGGACUGAGACACGGCCCAGACUCCUACGGGAGGCAGCAGUAGGGAAUCUUCGGCAAUGGACGGAAGUCUGACCGAGCAACGCCGCGUGAGUGAAGAAGGUUUUCGGAUCGUAAAGCUCUGUUGUAAGAGAAGAACGGGUGUGAGAGUGGAAAG